CAGCAGCAGCCGCGGUAAUACAGAGGGUGCGAGCGUUAAUCGGAUUUACUGGGCGUAAAGCGUGCGUAGGCGGCUUUUUAAGUCGGAUGUGAAAUCCCUGAGCUUAACUUAGGAAUUGCAUUCGAUACUGGGAAGCUAGAGUAUGGGAGAGGAUGGUAGAAUUCCAGGUGUAGCGGUGAAAUGCGUAGAGAUCUGGAGGAAUACCGAUGGCGAAGGCAGCCAUCUGGCCUAAUACUGACGCUGAGGUACGAAAGCAUGGGGAGCAAACAGGAUUAGAUACCCCUGUAGUCCCUGUCUCUUAUAU
rnacentral:rRNA from 1 species